GCUUGCAUCAUGAUUUACAUUUGAGUGAGUGGCGAACUGGUGAGUAACACGUGGGAAACCUGCCCAGAAGCGGGGGAUAACACCUGGAAACAGAUGCUAAUACCGCAUAACAACUUGGACCGCAUGGUCCGAGUUUGAAAGAUGGCUUCGGCUAUCACUUUUGGAUGGUCCCGCGGCGUAUUAGCUAGAUGGUGGGGUAACGGCUCACCAUGGCAAUGAUACGUAGCCGACCUGAGAGGGUAAUCGGCCACAUUGGGACUGAGACACGGCCCAAACUCCUACGGGAGGCAGCAGUAGGGAAUCUUCCACAAUGGACGAAAGUCUGAUGGAGCAACGCCGCGUGAGUGAAGAAGGGUUUCGGCUCGUAAAACUCUGUUGUUAAAGAAGAACAUAUCUGAGAGUAACUGUUCAGGUAUUGACGGUAUUUAACCAGAAAGCCACGGCUAACUACGUGCCAGCAGCCGCGGUAAUACGUAGGUGGCAAGCGUUGUCCGGAUUUAUUGGGCGUAAAGCGAGCGCAGGCGGUUUUUUAAGUCUGAUGUGAAAGCCUUCGGCUCAACCGAAGAAGUGCAUCGGAAACUGGGAAACUUGAGUGCAGAAGAGGACAGUGGAACUCCAUGUGUAGCGGUGAAAUGCGUAGAUAUAUGGAAGAACACCAGUGGCGAAGGCGGCUGUCUGGUCUGUAACUGACGCUGAGGCUCGAAAGUAUGGGUAGCAAACAGGAUUAGAUACCCUGGUAGUCCAUACCGUAAACGAUGAAUGCUAAGUGUUGGAGGG
rnacentral:rRNA from 1 species